rnacentral:rRNA from 1 species
UACAGAGGUCUCAAGCGUUGUUUCGGAUUCAGUUGGGCGUAAAGGGUGCGUAGGCGGCGCGGUAAAGUCGGGGUGUGAAAUCUCGGAGCUUAACUCCGAAACUGCAUUCGAUACUGCCGUGCUUGAGGACUGGAGAGGAGACUGGAACAAACGGUGGAGCGGUGAAAUGCGUAGAUAUCGUUUGGAACGCCAAUGGUGAAAACAGGUCGCUGGGGAUGAGCUGGACGCUGAGACACGAAAGCCAGGGAGCAAACGGG